rnacentral:rRNA from 1 species
CACGUAGGAGACUAGCGUUAUUCGGAUUUACUGGGCGUAAAGCGCGUGUAGGCGGUUCGGUAAGUUGGAUGUGAAAGCUCCUGGCUUAACUGGGAGAGGUCGUUCAAAGCUACCGGACUUGAGAGUGGUAGAGGGAGUUGGAAUUCCGGGUGUAGUGGUAAAAUGCGUAGAUAUGCGGAGGAACACCGAUGGCGAAGGCA